rfam:Flavobacteriaceae bacterium CG2_30_31_66 cg2_3.0_scaffold_198_c, whole genome shotgun sequence.
AAUGCGGAAGCUGAAAAGCAUAAAGAGUAAGCA